GCAACGGCCUUCCCCCGCUGGGUGCUGGCCAAGUCCUCUGUGGGAACCCCACCAAGGGCCUGCGGGAGCGUAGGCACCAGUGCCAGGCCAGGGAGCCCCCCGAGCAGCUGCCCCAACACAGGCCAGGAGAUCCGGCCGCCAGCACUUCCACCCCAGAGCCUGACCCUGCAGACAGCUCUGACUUCCUGGCCUUGACUGGGCUUAGGGCCUGGAGGGAACAUGGCGUGCGGUGGGUGUCCCUCCAGCUCUUCCACUGUGUGUGUCCUGUCCCAUGGGGAAAUCAGGGCUGGGGCUACCUUGGCUGAGUCAUCCCCAGUCCCAAGGCUCAUGGACCAUCCCUGCGUGUCCUGUCCCGUGGGGAAAUCAGGGCUGGGGCUACCUUGGCUGAGUCAUCCCCAGUCCCAAGGCUCGUGGACCAUCCCUGCAUGUCCUGUCCCGUGGGGGGAUCAGGGCUGGGGCUACCUUGGCUGAGUCAUCGCUGGUCCCAAGGCUCGUGGACCAUCCCUAUGUGUCCUGUCCCGUGGGGGGAUCAGGGCUGGAGCUCCUCCUCCUCUCCCCACCCUAGCCCCCUCCCCUAUAGGCACCCGGAGUCCCAACAGGAAGGGGCUGUAGCCCCCUGGGGCCCACGGAGGGUCCCUGAAGAGCAAGUGCACCAGGCAGAGCCCAAGACUCCCUCCAGCCCCCCAAGCCUGGCCUCAGAGCCCUCCGGGACCUCGAGCCAGCACCUGGUCCCUUCACCUCCCAAGCACCCAAGGCCACGAGAUUCUGGCAGCAGCUCCCCGCGGUGGUCGACAGACCUGCAGUCCAGGGGGCGUCGGCUCCGAGCCCUGGGCAGCUGGGGGCCUGGCCUGGGUGAUGGGGUGGCUGCAGUGCCUGUCCUGAGAGCCCUGGAGGUGGCCUCAGGCCUAAGCCCUCGAGCCCAGGGACGUCCUGGCCCAAAGCCAGCACCAGAUGCAACAGCUAGACCUCCCAGGGCAGCUGAACUCUCUCACCCCAGCCCCGUCCCCACUUAAUAUAGCCCCCACUGCCAAGCUUGCCUGUGCUGGGGCCACGACUUGCCCACAUAUGUGGUCACAGAGCACAGAAUACCUGGGCGUGUGUGUUGGGGGGUGAAAGGAGUGCCUGGCCCUGGG
rnacentral:lncRNA from 1 species